AACGAACGCUGGCGGCAUGCCUAACACAUGCAAGUCGAACGAGACCUUCGGGUCUAGUGGCGCACGGGUGCGUAACGCGUGGGAACCUGCCCUUAGGUUCGGAAUAACUCCCCGAAAGGGGUGCUAAUACCGGAUAAUGUCUUCGGACCAAAGAUUUAUCGCCUUUGGAUGGGCCCGCGUUGGAUUAGCUAGUUGGUAGGGUAAAAGCCUACCAAGGCGACGAUCCAUAGCUGGUCUGAGAGGAUGAUCAGCCACACUGGGACUGAGACACGGCCCAGACUCCUACGGGAGGCAGCAGUGGGGAAUAUUGGACAAGGGGCGAAAGCCUGAUCCAGCAAUGCCGCGUGAGUGAUGAAGGCCUUAGGGUUGUAAAGCUCUGUUACCCGGGAUGAUAAUGACAGUACCGGGAGAAUAAGCUCCGGCUAACUCCGUG
rnacentral:rRNA from 1 species